rnacentral:rRNA from 1 species
AACGAACGCUGGCGGCAUGCCUAACACAUGCAAGUCGAACGAGACCUCCGGGUCUAGUGGCGCACGGGUGCGUAACGCGUGGGAACCUGCCCUUAGGUUCGGAAUAACUCCCCGUAAGGGGUGCUAAUACCGGAUAAUGUCUUCGGACCAAGGAUUUAUCGCCUUUGGGUGGGCCCGCGUUGGUUUAGCUGGUUGGUAGGGUAAAAGCCUACCAAGGCGACGAUCCAUAGCUGGUCUGAGAGGAUGAUCAGCCACACUGGGACUGGGACACGGCCCAGACUCCUACGGGAGGCAGCAGUGGGGAAUAUGGGACAAUGGGCGAAAGCCUGAUCCAGCAAGGCCGCGUGAGUGAUGAGGGCCUUAGGGUUGUAAGGCUCUUUUACCCGGGAUGAUAAUGACAGUACCGGGAGAAUAGGCUCCGGCUACCUCCGU